UACAGAGGUCUCAAGCGUUGUUCGGAUUCAUUGGGCGUAAAGGGUGCGUAGGCGGCGCGGUAAGUCGGGUGUGAAAUCUCGGGGCUUAACUCCGAAACUGCAUUCGAUACUGCCGUGCUUGAGGACUGGAGAGGUGAGUGGAAUUCCCAGUGUAGCGGUGAAAUGCGUAGAUAUUGGGAGGAACACCAGUGGCGAAGGCGGCUCACUGGACUGGUACUGACGCUGAGGCGCGAAAGCGUGGGGAGCAAACAGG
rnacentral:rRNA from 1 species